rnacentral:rRNA from 1 species
GAUGAACGCUAGCGGCAGGCCUAACACAUGCAAGUCGAGGGGCAGCACGUCUUCGGAUGGUGGCGACCGGCGCACGGGUGCGUAACGCGUAUGCAACCUACCUCUUACAGUGGGAUAGCCCAGAGAAAUUUGGAUUAAUACCGCAUAGUAUACAGAUUCAGCAUUGGGACUGUAUUAAACAUUUAUGGGUAAGAGAUGGGCAUGCGUUCUAUUAGUUAGUUGGAGUGGUAACGGCACCCCAAGACAGCGAUAGAUAGGGGCCCUGAGAGGGGGAUCCCCCACACUGGUGCUGAGACACGGACCAGACUCCUACGGGAGGCAGCAGUGAGGAAUAUUGGACAAUGGGCGCAAGCCUGAUCCAGCCAUGCCGCGUGUGUGAAGAAGGCC